AUCAUUUUACCCUAACCCUACAUCUCUUUCUAUCACUCUCUAUUAGCCGCACCUUCUCUCACUCUCAGCCUCUCCCUCACAUCGUCUCUCUCAGCCUCCCUCUCGCGUCUCUCUCUCACACGACAAGGAAGCCAGGCGGGGCUCUCUCACAUGGUCUCCCUCUCUCUCUCUCACCGGUAUGUUUUCUUCAAUGGUAACUCUUGUCUUGGUUUAUAUUUUUGCAUUUAAUAGUAUUUUUAUUCUUUUUCUAUGUAGUUUAAGGAAAGAUAGAUACAACAUUUAAAUUUGCGAUUAACUUAUUUAGUUCUAGUUGGCCAAAUGCUUAGACAAUUUAUUGUUUGUGGUUUGAUUUUUAAUUUGAAGAUAUGUAUAUGUAUGCUCAUGCUUGCUGAUAUGUAUAUAUAUAUAUAUCCAGUAAGUUUUUCCUCCUUCUCCUUCUCUUUUAUUUCUAUUUUCUGCUGUAGAUGGUGGUGGGGCUUCGGGGUCGACCACGUGUGGUGGACGUGAGGCUUUGCAACAUCGUGGUUUGAGCUCGUUUGACAGCAUUUUACCAAAAUGAAGGGUGAUACUGGUUCUCAUUGGAGAGGUGGCUCAUGAAGGGUGGGGUUGUUUGUGGUGGUGGCGAGUUGCAUCAUUUUUGUUGUUUUUGUUACAUCUUAUAAUUGAAAUUAUGUAUAAAGUAUAAUAUUAGUGUGAUAAAUGGUAUAUCUGAUUUUGUUGUAAAUAUUGUAUAUGUGAGUUUAUUUCUGAAAUCCAGUUUGAUAUAUGGCAUUUUGUAACUUAAUGUUGUUUUGGAAUGGGUAAAUGUCCCGUUUUUCAUUUUA